rnacentral:rRNA from 1 species
UACGGAGGAUCCGAGCGUUAUCCGGAUUUAUUGGGUUUAAAGGGGGCGUAGGCCGGCUUUUAAGUCAGCUGUGAAAGUCCGCGGCUCAACCGUGGAAUUGCAGUUGAAACUGGAGGCCUUGAGUGCACACAGGGAUGCCGGAAUUCAUGGUGUAGCGGUGAAAUGCUUAGAUAUCAUGAAGAACUCCGAUCGCGAAGGCAAGUGUCCGGGGUGCAACUGACGCUGAGGCUCGAAGGCGUGGGUAUCGAACAGG